CAACAACAGUUCUCGUUAGAUCACCGAAGUUAAGCAUCAUUGGGCGCGGUCAGUACUUGGGAGGGUGACUGCGUG